rnacentral:lncRNA from 13 species
AGAGAAUGUAGCAUCUAGAAUUACUCACAAGCACCUGGCCUAAAGAACUGAGUAGAUGGUGGUGCUUUUUACUGGUACAGAGUUUCUGAGAUAAUUGUUUAUCAGGAGGAUAAUAAGGUUAACAGCAGAUUGUGGAAUAUGUGCUGACUUAAAAGAGAAACAAAAGAUAGUAAUUGUUCCUUUGGUGUUAACGCUUUAAGUAAUGCAUGAAUGACUCAUAAGAAGCAAGCAAGUAUCCAUCUCAUGAUGUAAAUAAGUGGAACUGAAGGAAGACCCAGAAAGUUAGGAUCCUAAUAGCAUGGUGCCAGUGAUUUCAAUGGGACAGUUCAGCUGAAUGUGCGUACCAGUUCUGAACUCCAAAUAGUCUUGAAUGGAUGAAACGAAACCGAAAGAAAUAAAAAAAGUGAAGAACUAGAAAAUGGCUGUAAAAUAUCACAAUUAAGAAGUUUGACACAAUUCUCUGUGGCCAGAUACCAACACAACUCUUGGCCUACAUUUUACCCCCAGGAUAUUAUGAGAGAUACUGAAAAAAUCCUUAGAUAAAUGUAAGUAUUGGCUGUGGUU